rnacentral:rRNA from 1 species
UACAGAGGGUGCGAGCGUUAAUCGGAAUUACUGGGCGUAAAGCGUGCGUAGACGGUAGCGUAAGUCAGAUGUGAAAGCCCCGGGCUCAACCUGGGAACUGCAUUUGAGACUGCUCUGCUCGGGUGCGGAAGAGGGAAGCGGAAUUCCCGGUGUAGCGGUGAAAUGCGUAGAUAUCGGAAGGAACACCAGUGGCGAAAGCGGCUUCCUGGUCCGACACCGACGUUCAGGCACGAAAGCGUGGGGAGCAAACAGG